CCCAGACUCCUACGGGAGGCAGCAGUGGGGAAUAUUGCACAAUGGGGGAAACCCUGAUGCAGCGACGCCGCGUGAGUGAAGAAGUAUUUCGGUAUGUAAAGCUCUAUCAGCAGGAACGAGACAAGACGGUACCUGACUAAGAAGCCCCGGCUAACUACGUGCCAGCAGCCGCGGUAAUACGUAGGGGGCAAGCGUUAUCCGGAAUCACUGGGUGUAAAGGGAGCGUAGACGGCUGAGCAAGCCUGAAGUGAAAGGCAGGGGCCCAACCCCUGGACUGCUUUGGGAACUGUACGGCUGGAGUGCAGGAGAGGUAAGUGGAAUUCCUAGUGUAGCGGUGAAAUGCGUAGAUAUUGGGAGGAACACCAGUGGCGAAGGCGGCCUGCUGGACAUUAACUGACGCUGAGGCGCGAAGGCGUGGGGAGCAAACAGGAUUAGAUACCCGAGUA
rnacentral:rRNA from 1 species